GGAUUGUAGCUCAGUGGUAGAGUGCUUGCCUAGCACACAUGAGGCCCUGGGUUCAACCCUCAGCACCA
rnacentral:tRNA from 1 species